rnacentral:rRNA from 1 species
AACGAACGCUGGCGGCGUGCCUAACACAUGCAAGUCGAGCGGGAAAGUUCCCUUCGGGGAGCGAGUACAGCGGCGAACGGGUGAGUAACACGUAGGUAACCUACCCUGGAGUCCGGGAUAACCUGCCGAAAGGCGGGCUAAUACCAGAUAAGACCACGAGGGCUGCGGCCCUUGGGGAAAAAGAUGGCCUCUGCUUGCAUGCUAUCACUCCGGGAUGGGCCUGCGCGCCAUUAGCAGUUGGUGAGGUAACGGCUCACCAAGGCUGAGAUGGCUAGCUGGUCUGAGAGGAUGGCCAGCCACACUGGGACUGAGACACGGCCCAGACUCCUACGGGAGGCAGCAGUGGGGGAAUAUUGCGCAAUGGGCGAAAGCCUGACGCAGCGACGCCGCGUGGGUGAUGAAGGCCUC